GUCUCUUUGGAGACAUCUGAUAAAAUUGGAACAAUAUAGAGAAGAUUAGCAUGGCCCUACGCAAGGAUGACAUGCACAAAUCAAGAAAUGAAUCAAAUUUUU
rfam:Physcomitrella patens subsp. patens PHYPAscaffold_7 genomic scaffold, whole genome shotgun sequence.